rnacentral:rRNA from 1 species
AACGAACGCUGGCGGCGUGGCUAAGGCAUGCAAGUCGUACGGGAACAGUUUUGUAGCAAUACACGAUUGUUUCAGUGGCGGACGGGUGAGUAACGCAUGGGUAACGUGCCUUUUGCACCGGGAUAGCGUCGGGCCCGCAAGGGUCCUUUGCGAAAGUGACGGUAAUACCGGAUGACAUCGCGGAUUCGCAUGUUUCUGCGAUCAAAGGUGAGGACCGCAAGGCUUAUCGGCAUUAGAGCGGCCCAUGUCCUAUCAGCUUGUUGGUGAGGUAACGGCUCACCAAGGCUUUGACGGGUAGCCGGCGUGAGAGCGCGACCGGCCACAUCGGAACUGAGACACUGUCCGGACACCUACGGGUGGCUGCAGCAACGAAUAUUCCGCAAUGGGCGAAAGCCUGACGGAGCGACGCCGCGUGAAGGAUGAAGUCCCUCGGGAUGUAAACUUCAAUAGUUUGUCAGAAAAGAACUCGACCUAAUACGUCGAGUGUUGAUCAGCAAACGAAAGGGACGGCUAACUCCGUGCCAGCAGCCGCGGUAAGACGGAGGUCCCGAGCGUUGUUCGGAAUUAUUGGGCUUAAAGCGCGUGUAGGCGGAGUCGUAAGUACCUUGUGAAAUCCCCGGACUCAAUCCGGGAACUGCUUGGUAUACUGCGAUUCUCGAGGCAGGUAGAGGUCACUGGAACCUUAGGUGGAGCGGUGAAAUGCGUAGAUAUCUAAGGGAACGCCUGUGGCGAAAGCGGGUGACUGGGCCUGUCUGACGCUGAGACGCGAAAGCGUAGGGAGCAAACGGGAUUAGAUACCCCGGUAGUCUACGCCGUAAACGAUGCGCACUAGGUUCGAAGGUCUCUGACGAUCCUCGGACCGAAACAAAAGCGUUAAGUGCGCCGCCUGGGGAGUACGGCCGCAAGGCUAAAACUCAAAGGAAUUGACGGGGGCUCACACAAGCGGUGGAGCAUGUGGAUCAAUUCGAAGCAACGCGAAGAACCUUACCUGGGUUUGACAUGCACGGAUGCCCUCGAGGAAACUUGAGUAAGCUGCCUUUGGUGAAACGUGCACAGGUGCUGCAUGGCUGUCGUCAGCUCGUGCUGUGAAGUGUCGGGUUAAGUCCCUUAACGAGCGAAACCCUUAUCGCUAGUUGCCAGCGGGUCAUGCCGGGAACUCUAGUGAGACUGCCGGCGUCAAGCCGGAGGAAGGCGGGGACGACGUCAAGUCAUCAUGGCCUUUAUGCCCAGGGCGUCACACGUGCUACAAUGGGGUGGUACAGAGCGAUGCAAGACCGCAAGGUGGAGCAAAUCGCAGAAAACACCCCUCAGUUCGGAUUGAGGUCCGCAACCCGACCUCAUGAAGCUGGAAUCGCUAGUAAUCGCGUAUCAGCCACGACGCGGUGAAUAUGUUCCUGAGCCUGCACUCACCGC